GAUAGAUGAAAGAUAGUUCCUAUCAGAAGGAUCUCGUCCAGGCAUUUCAACAAAAAGAUCAUGAUCGCAUAUAAUUUGUAAAAAGGUAAGCUUGCAGUCAUGCAGCACCGUUUGACACACUCCAGAGAACUUAUCGAGAUACAAGGACACCAGUUCAAAAACCUGACGAGGCUCAAUGAUGGAUAAAAGAUCAUAACAAAAGAAAGCCAAACUACUAUUUAAAUGCUUGGCCAAGCUUAGACCUUUCUUGCAGCGUUCAUGAACUUCUGUUAAAAGGCAAUCAUACAACUGAACAACACAUCUGAAAACACCUUCUUUCAAUUGCAUUGGCGGGACAUCUUCA
rnacentral:misc_RNA from 1 species